rnacentral:rRNA from 1 species
GAGUUUGAUCAUGGCUCAGAUUGAACGCUGGCGGUAGGCUUAACACAUGCAAGUCGUGCGAGAAAGUAUCUUCGGAUAUGAGUAGAGCGGCGGACGGGUGAGUAACGCGUAGGAAUCUACCUAGUAGAAGGGGAUAGCCCGGGGAAACCCGGAUUAAUACCGUAUACCUCCUUCGGGAGAAAGAAGGCCUCUCUUUGAAGCUUUCGCUACUAGAUGAGCCUGCGUAAGAUUAGCUUGUUGGUGAGGUAAAGGCUCACCAAGGCGACGAUCUUUAGCUGGUCUGAGAGGACGAUCAGCCACAUUGGGACUGAGACACGGCCCAGACUCCUACGGGAGGCAGCAGUGGGGAAUAUUGGACAAUGGGCGCAAGCCUGAUCCAGCCAUACCGCGUGUGUGAAGAAGGCCUUCGGGUUGUAAAGCACUUUAAGCAGGGAGAAAAAGUUAUAAGUUAAUACCUUAUAACCCUGAUGUUACCUGCAGAAUAAGCACCGGCUAAUUCCGUGCCAGCAGCCGCGGUAAUACGGAAGGUGCAAGCGUUAAUCGGAAUUACUGGGCGUAAAGCGCGCGUAGGUGGUUUGUUAAGUUGGAUGUGAAAGCCCUGGGCUCAACCUAGGAACUGCAUCCAAAACUAACUCACUAGAGUACGAUAGAGGGAGGUAGAAUUCAUAGUGUAGCGGUGGAAUGCGUAGAUAUUAUGAAGAAUACCAGUGGCGAAGGCGGCCUCCUGGAUCUGUACUGACACUGAGGUGCGAAAGCGUGGGUAGCGAACAGGAUUAGAUACCCUGGUAGUCCACGCCGUAAACGAUGACAACUAGCUGUUGGGAGACUAUGUCUUUCAGUGGCGCAGCUAACGCUUUAAGUUGUCCGCCUGGGGAGUACGGCCGCAAGGCUAAAACUCAAAUGAAUUGACGGGGGCCCGCACAAGCGGUGGAGCAUGUGGUUUAAUUCGACGCAACGCGAAAAACCUUACCUGGUCUUGACAUCCUGCGAACUUUCUAGAGAUAGAUUGGUGCCUUCGGGAACGCAGUGACAGGUGCUGCAUGGCUGUCGUCAGCUCGUGUCGUGAGAUGUUGGGUUAAGUCCCGCAACGAGCGCAACCCUCACUUUUAGUUGCCAUCAUUAAGUUGGGCACUCUGAAAGAACUGCCAGUGAUAAGCUGGAGGAAGGUGGGGAUGACGUCAAGUCCUCAUGGCCCUUACGUGUUGGGCUACACACGUGCUACAAUGGCAUCUACAACAGGAAGCAAAACGGCAACGUUAAGCAAAUCCCGAAAAGAUGCCUCAGUUCGGAUUGCACUCUGCAACUCGAGUGCAUGAAGCUGGAAUUACUAGUAAUCGCGGAUCAGCGUGCCACGGUGAAUGCGUUCCCGGGUCUUGUACACACCGCCCGUCACACCAUGGGAGUUGGUUCUACCUUAAGGCAAGGUUUCAAACCCUUGACCACGGUAUAGUCAGCGACUGGGGUGAAGUCGUAACAAGGUAACC